AGAACGAACGCUGGCGGCAUGCCUAACACAUGCAAGUCGAACGAACCCUUCGGGGUGAGUGGCGCACGGGUGCGUAACGCGUGGGAACCUGCCCUUAGGUUUGGAAUAACAGUGAGAAAUCGCUGCUAAUACCAAAUAAUGUCUUCGGACCAAAGAUUUAUCGCCCUUUGAUGAACCCGCGUAAGAUUAGCUUGUUGGUGAGGUAAAGGCUCACCAAGGCGACGAUCUUUAGCUGGUCUGAGAGGAUGAUCAGCCACACUGGGACUGAGACACGGCCC
rnacentral:rRNA from 1 species